rnacentral:misc_RNA from 1 species
GGCUGUUGUUGGGAUCCCAUCUUCCUUAACUUCCAAUCCCAGCUUCCUUUUCUUCCUCCACCCCACCAGCACCACUAUCACCACCAAUACCGCCACACACCGCCGUUGACGAUCCAAAUUCCCACCGUAGACUUUUACAAAAAUAUAUCAAUUAUGUCGAUCAACAUGAAAACUCUAACCCAAGCCUUCGCCAAAGCCUCAGCUAAAGCCUCAGCGGUGAUCGAGAAAACGGUUCAAACCACCGUACAAGAAGUUUCUGGUUUACCCAGAGCUUUACAAGACUACGAUCUCUUAGAUCAGAUCGGGUCAGCCGGACCGGGCCUAGCUUGGAAGUUGUACUCGGCCAAGGCCCGAGAUGGCCACGCCGUGUACCCAAACGUUUGUGUUUGGCUUCUUGAUAAGCGAGCUCUUUCCGAGGCACGACAACGGGCAGGGCUAUCCAAGACUGCUGAAGACUCGUUUUUUGACAUCAUUCGGGCUGAUGCCUCCCGGCUGGUGAGGUUGAGGCAUCCUGGGGUUGUUCAUGUAGUGCAGGCACUUGAUGAGAGUAAAAAUGGUAUGGCUAUGGUUACAGAACCCUUGUUUGCUUCGGCUGCUAAUGCUUUGGGGGAUUUGGAGAAUAUUGAGAAAGUUCCCAAAGAGCUUAAAGGAAUGGAAAUGGGGUUGCUUGAGGUUAAACAUGGUUUGCUCCAAAUUGCAGAAACGUUGGAUUUCCUCCAUAGCAAUGCUCGUCUAGUUCAUCGGUCUAUAUCACCUGAGACUAUUCUCAUCACUUCAAAUGGAGCUUGGAAACUUGGUGGUUUUGGUUUUACCAUAUCAGUGGAUCAAGCAGCUGAUUUAUCCAACAUUCAGGCUUUCCAUUAUUCUGAAUAUGAUGUUGAAGACUCUAUUAUACCACUUCAGCCAUCACUAGACUACACUGCACCAGAGCUGGUUCGAAGUAAGACAUCUUCUGUGGGGUGCUCCUCUGAUAUUUUCAGUUUUGGAUGCCUUGCCUACCACUUGAUUGCUCGGAAGCCUCUGUUGGACUGCCACAACAAUGUGAAAAUGUAUAUGAAUAAUUUGAAUUACUUAUCCAGCGAGGCUUUCUCUUCGAUUCCACAAGAACUAGUUCCGGACUUGCACAAUAUGCUUUCUGCAAAUGAGGCUUUGAGACCAACUGCCUUGGGUUUUACAAGUUCAUCUUUUUUCCGUGACGACACUAGGUUGCGUGCUCUUCG